rnacentral:rRNA from 1 species
CCUACGGGUGGCAGCAGUGGGGGAUAUUGCACAAUGGGGGGAACCCUGAUGCAGCGACGCCGCGUGGGUGAAGAAGCGCCUCGGCGCUUAAAGCCCUUUCUGCAUGGAAGAAAAUGACGCUACCUGAAGAAUAAGCCCCGGCUAACUACGUGCCAGCAGCCGCGGUAAUACGUAGGGGGCCAGCGUUAUCCGGAUGUACUGGGUGUAAAGGGGGCGUAGACGGCUAUUCAAGCCAGGAGUGAAAGCCCGGGGCCCAACCCCGGGAUUGCAGUUGAAACUGGGGGGCUGGAGUGCAGGAGGGGUAGGCGGAAUUCGUGGUGUAGCGGUGAAAUGCGUAGAUAGCAGGAGGAACACCGGUGGCGAAGGCAGUCCGCUGGACUGCAACUGACGUUGAGGCCCGAAAGCGUGGGGAGCAAACAGGAUUAGAUACCCCAGUAGUC